rnacentral:lncRNA from 1 species
GUGAAUUCGUCGUCAACGUAGACAUCCAGUACUUCCGUCAACACAAAAACGGGCCUGGAAGGCCUUUGAGGAUUCUGAACAAAACGUCCUCAGCAAGUGCAUCAUCAUCAUCACUAACGUUUGCUUCAUUCCAUCUAGUCGGCUGUUGAACGUUUCAUCCUCUUGGCUUGAGAUCCUAAAUUGGUCCAAACAGGCAAGGCGUGACCUUGAGCACCGUUCUGUACUUUCGAUCCUGGAUUAAGCUCUAAAUCGACAAACACAGAGAACCUGCAUGGGUCAAACCUUAGAACAGCACACAUGCUAAGACAGCGGUGGCGCAUUGCCCUUCGAAGACUUUUGUGGAGGCCUGCUCGGCAUGCUUCCUGAGCAGUAGAACAUGUUCAGUAAAAACUUAACUCAGAAAACAAAACACCCUACCUAUUCUUUUUCCAGAUUGUGGAAAGACGAGGGAACCAAAUGAUCUGGCAAGCCCUUCCUCCACAGUGUCUUCCUCUUACAGUGCCAACAAUACAUAUAAGCAUUUUGAUGAGGGCUCCAAUACCCACAGAGCAUGCUGCAGCAGCGGAAUCGGCCAUACAAAUGGAUCCGCGUUGCACCAGCGCCAUGGCCAGGACAACAACAUAGGAUCGGAUCAGAUUGCUCUAGAAACAAGGUACUGGAUUUCAAUACCUGGAUGCUGCCUCGCUCCUAGCGCUAACUAGCCCCUCGCUUCCAAUGUCCAAUCCGAUGCUACAAAGGCAGUUUAUGUGGUAUUAAAUGUGGCAUGGCAAUGUUAAUUAAAACUUUAUAAAUUGUAAUAACUUGAUAUC